rnacentral:lncRNA from 1 species
ACAACUAAGAGAUCAUCAGUGAGGUGGUCGGCUGGACUGGUUCGACGAUGGGCUGGGCGAUCUAUGAGGGUUGUUUGAUGCCGCCAAUUGCCCUACACAGAGAAGAGAUUGCUUGUGUGAGACCAGAUGAAUAUAUAUCAUGUAGGACUAAAAUUUUGAUACUCACAUGAGUAUGGAACUGAGAAGAGUUAACUGUAGAGAACAACAGAGGUGGUGGAGCAAGACCCUGUGCAGCACCAAGGCUCUGCAUGUACUAGAACAUCUCACCCAUCCUCUGCUGAUCCGCC